GCGGGACCUCAGGUGAGG
rnacentral:rRNA from 1 species